CACCCCUCAGUGUCGCACUUGGAGAGUUUCCAGUACUCUACCAGUCUUGACUACGGGAGGGAGAGGCAAGCAGAGGCAUAUCCAUUCCAUUCCUAGCUUGGGCAAUGGCUAACUAGUGGAAGGUAAUCUGCUACAAGU